CGGCGGCGUCGCAAGGGCGACCCUGGACCCCUGGCUCAGCACUUACCUCCUCAGCACUUGAGGGUUCCAGCGCCGGACGACUCUACCCGCUGCGCCAGCCAUGGCUACCCCGAAGAUGAACUUGGGAUGCUCUGUUUCUCUGAGUCUUCAUAUUCUCAUCUUAUCCAGAAAGUCUCCUCUGACCUCCCCCCGCCAUCAGCUGUGUUAGCUUGGGCUUCAUGAAACAGACUUCCAGAAAGGAGUUUAUUUGGAAAUCAUCCCAGGAAACAUUUGUGUGGGAGGAGUGAAGACAGGAAAGCAAAAGCUGCCAAUAAAAGGGAAUAGGAAGACCUGAGAAGGAGGAGCAAGUUGGGGGAACAGCAGG